UACGUAGGGUGCAAGCGUUAAUCGGAAUUACUGGGCGUAAAGCGUGCGCAGGCGGUUAUGUAAGACAGGUGUGAAAUCCCCGGGCUUAACCUGGGAACUGCAUUUGUGACUGCAUAGCUAGAGUACGGUAGAGGGGGAUGGAAUUCCGCGUGUAGCAGUGAAAUGCGUAGAUAUGCGGAGGAACACCGAUGGCGAAGGCAGCCCCCUGGGCUUAAAUUGACGCUGAGGCACGAAAGCGUGGGGAGCAAACAGG
rnacentral:rRNA from 1 species